rnacentral:rRNA from 1 species
UACGUAGGGUGCAAGCGUUUGUCCGGAAUUAUUGGGCGUAAAGAGCUCGUAGGCGGUCUGUCGCGUCGGUUGUGAAAACCCAAGGCUCAACCUUGGGCCUGCAAUCGAUACGGGCAGACUAGAGUACUGCAGGGGAGACUGGAAUUCCUGGUGUAGCGGUGGAAUGCGCAGAUAUCAGGAGGAACACCGGUGGCGAAGGCGGGUCUCUGGGCCGAUUACUGACGCUGGAGGAGCG